rnacentral:lncRNA from 1 species
CUCCAAUUCAGUAAGCAUUAAAUGCUAACAGUAUAUCGUAGUUUCUAGGUGACCAACAAAAACUUAUGGUUUCAGACAAGCAAGUUAAUUGUGAAGGACAAUUUGGAAGGAAAACAAAAAAAACAUAGAACGAUUAAAGGUGGUAAAGGAAUACAAAGGACUAUCAAAAUGUGGAGAACAGGGCCUUGAAAGAGUUUCUAGAUCUACUAUGGCAGGAAGAUUGACACGACCCGUCCCAAAUCUCCUUAGUGGACUCGACACGUGUCGCGCGCUGAUGGUAGAUACUAGCUGAACGUCGGACCCACCACUAAGACAACUUUGACUUAUUUAACUGAAAAAUAUUUUUAACAAAAUUUUGAUAGAAUUUUCCCUGAAAUAUAAAGUAAAAUCGCCUGAACAAUAAUCAAUUUUCCUCAAAUCUAUACCUAUAAUAUAAAUCAGGGUAUGCAGUCCCAGAAAAUACAAAUUAUUCAAAUAAAAUGCUGGAAAAUCUAAUUGCUUUACAAAUAACAAUCCUCAAAUAUACUAAAGAUACCAAAUAUCAAAUGAGCUCAUAAUGAACUUUUCUGAUUUAAACUAUAUAUAUAUCCCAAAAGAACACAUAAUGUAUAAUCUGAUAAAAGAUGCCAUACAACCUAUGGCGAGUGGCUCAAUUUGGUGGUUCGACAGGCUCCAAAGCUGCUCAAUUCAUCCGCUUUUUGUCUAAUAAAGAAAAAUGUGAAAAAUAUAUGAGCUUAAAACUCAGUGAGUGGAUAAUUUGUGGAUAAGUAAACUUUUCUCAUUUAUACAUAUUUUCUGAAAAUUCUUGCACUACUAAAACUUCUAGAAAUUCUGAAAUCUGGUAACACUAUUAAAAUCAAACAUGAAUACAUCAUAAAAUUCUUUGCUCUUCAUUCUAGAUAAGUGACUGUAAAAUGUAAUGAAUAUAAAUAAUAUGACAUUCGUGGAAAUCUAUGAAAUAUUGCUGCUACUCAGUACUAUAAGUUGAAAACUUUAAUCUGAGAACUGAAUAGAUUGAAUUAUAUAAUCUGAAAUCUGAUAAGUUGUAGAAAUACUAAAAAUUACACAAAAAGGUACCCAAUGAAUAGUCUUACUUAUGUACAGAGUAAUCUCGAUGUACAAGGCAGAGCCAUUCAAAUCUGAUAUUCUGAUAAUCUGGUAAUCUGAUAAUCUGGUCAUAUGUAUGCAGAGCUGCCCCAAACGCUAAGCGCCCUAGUACACGACCGAAAGCCUAUGUGUGUACGAGAGUGGUCCCAAAGACAUCUGAUAAUUUGAUAAUCUGGUCAUAUACUAUGGAAAUACAUUCAUAAUAGUACAGAGCGGGUAAAAUCACCAUAAUUAGUCAUACACUGUGGAAAUACAUUUACGCUAGUGCAGAUUGAGGUAAAAUCACCGGGUACUUUCUGGUGAUAUUUAGAAAAACUUUAGCUAUAUAAAACAUGUAAUACGAAGGGAACAUGCUAUUGAAAUGAUUUAAUUGGACUGAAUUUAACUUUAAAAACAACUUAUUAUAAAUCCACUUUAUUUUAAAUAUCAUGCUGUCAAAUCAAUUGUAUGAAAAAGAAAAUUUUCUAAUCUAACGUAAAUUUAAUAAAUAUUAAUUUCUGAAAAAUAAGUUUAUAUCCACUCAUUGCUCUAUGGAUAAAAAUCUGGCUAAAUUAACCAGCAUCUCCAAACUUCUACGUCAUUACCUGAAAUAACAGUAUAAUAACUCAAAUUAAAAUAUGACAAUUAAACUAAUGCAAAGUCACCACCUAAUUUCUCAACUUUCAAAUUUUCUCUUGAAUCUCCAUUUCUCGAUAUUUGAAUGAAUUCUCCAAAUUUUCUUCUCUCUAACGAUUUAUCAAUUAAUUACCAUUCAUUAUCAAAUUCAUUAAAUUACUUGCACUUCCUUAACAUCGCUACCUUAUUCGUAUGCAUCCCCUAUACCGAAUUUAGUCAAAUACAUAAACUUCAAUAUUUGUCAUAUAACUUCAUUCAAACCUUUAAAAAUCUGAAAAUAAGAACUUUGACAAAAACAGCACUAAAAUCCCAUAAUAUUAAAAUCUGGUAUCAAAACGUUUGACAGAAAUAGCGCUAUUCUGGCAGAUUUUCAAAAACAGCGCAUGAAUAGGAUUUUGUCCAAAAAUUGCAUAUAAUACUUGCUUAAAAAUGGAGAAAUCAACCCCAAUUUCUUAAUUUAAGUGAUUAACACCAUAUAAUCCCAAUAAAUCAAAGAAUAAGUAUAUAUUUCAUAAACCCAUUUUCUAAGUUUCCCCCCCCUUUUUUUUUUUUCCCCCCCCCCCCCCCCCCCCGCACCAACACCAAUCAUUCAAUAUAUAUUUCUUUGACCUCAAAUACCUACUAAUAACCUUUAAUUCUUCCUAAAUCUCGAAUUUAAGGAAUUUUCAUGAACCCUAAAAUCUAAUAUCAUUCUUCAAUAAGUAAAACUUAUGCUUACCUUGAAAAAUUGAGGACUUAGCUUUUUUUCCUUUUUUCCUUUUUUCUUUCCCCCCUUUUCCCUUCUUUUCUUCCUUUCCUUCCCCAUUUUUCCUCCUUCCCAGCUUCUGCCUGAAUUCUACUGUGUGUAUG